GUGAGCCCGCUAUCAGCGGCCAGCGCGGGCGCGGCCGGAGACCGUGGGGCCUCCGGUUGCCGCCCCCUCGGGAGCCACCAUGUUGGUGAUACCCCCCGGACUGAGCGAGGAAGAGGAGGCUCUGCAGAAGAAAUUCAACAAACUCAAGAAAAAGAAAAAGGCAUUGCUGGCUCUGAAGAAGCAAAGUAGCAGCAGCACAACCAGCCAAGGUGGUGUCAAACGCUCACUAUCAGAGCAGCCUGUCGUGGACACAGCCACAGCAACAGAGCAGGCAAAGCAGCUGGUGAAGUCAGGAGCCAUCAGUGCCAUCAAGGCUGAGACCAAGAACUCAGGCUUCAAGCGUUCUCGAACCCUUGAGGGGAAGUUAAAGGACCCCGAGAAGGGACCAGUCCCCACUUUCCAGCCGUUCCAGAGGAGCAUAUCUGCUGAUGAUGACCUGCAAGAGUCAUCCAGACAUCCCCAGAGGAAAUCUCUGUAUGAGAGCUUUGUGUCUUCUAGUGAUCGACUUCGAGAACUAGGACCAGAUGGAGAAGAGGCAGAGGGCCCAGGGGCUGGUGAUGGUCCCCCUCGAAGCUUUGACUGGGGCUAUGAAGAACGCAGUGGUGCCCACUCCUCAGCCUCCCCUCCCCGAAGCUGCAGCCGGGACCGCAGCCAUGAGAGGAACCGGGACAGAGACCGAGAUCGGGAGCGGGAUCGAGACCGGGAUCGAGACAGAGACAGAGAGCGGGACAGGGAUCGGGAUCGGGAUCGGGAUCGAGAUCGAGACCGGGAACGGGACAGGGAUCGGGAGCGGGAUCGAGACCGAGACCGAGAGGGUCCUUUCCGCAGGUCGGAUUCAUUCCCUGAACGGCGAGCCCCUAGGAAAGGGAAUACCCUCUAUGUAUAUGGAGAAGACAUGACACCCACCCUUCUCCGUGGGGCCUUCUCUCCUUUUGGAAACAUCAUUGACCUCUCCAUGGACCCACCCAGAAACUGUGCCUUCGUCACCUAUGAAAAGAUGGAGUCAGCAGAUCAGGCCGUUGCUGAGGUUGGAACUUCCCAAAUCUGUUCUUCCCAUCGCUUCUGCUGUUCUCAUGUGUUCUCCUCAAAAUACUAGAUGCCAGGAAGAAGUUGGUUCCUCUUGAUAAAGAAAGCCUCCCCCUAUUCACACAGAAAAACUUACAUUCUCAGAUUCCUUAUUCAGUCUACUCCUAGGAUAGCAACUCCUGGAAUAACUUCUUUGGUUUAUCUGUAAUGUUUCCUCCCCAUCCUCUGCCUUCCCUCUUCUGCUUCAGCUCAACGGGACCCAGGUGGAGUCUGUACAGCUCAAAGUCAACAUAGCCCGAAAACAGCCCAUGCUGGAUGCCGCUACUGGCAAGUCUGUCUGGGGCUCCCUCGCUGUCCAGAACAGCCCUAAGGGUUGCCACCGGGACAAGAGGACCCAGAUUGUCUACAGUGAUGACGUCUACAAGGAAAACCUUGUGGAUGGCUUCUAGGGAACAGAGCUGGAUUCCUUGUGCCUCAUAUGCCCCAAUGCUGGUCUCAGUAAAACACUGAGGUGGAAGCUUA
rnacentral:sRNA from 1 species